UCAGGACAUCUCUCAGGAUCAACUGCCAAUGGGUCCUAUUUUUUAACAUUUCUGUGACAUUCAACAGACUUCUACUAUGCUCUACCAAGCAUUCUGUUACACAGGUUUCAAAGGUUACAUUGAUUGUUAUAGAGAUUAAGGGUCAAAGCCUGAUUCUGUUCAAGUCAGUGAGAAUACACCUUUUCAUCAUCCAAUUGUGUUGCUUUGUGAAUGUCAAUUAAAACGUGAUGCUGUGGAAGAUAUGAAGAUGUCAUUUUAUUCUUACUUUGGAACAGAAAUCCAUGUAAUGGAGAGAAAAAACAGAAGGGAAAUGAGGAAUCCAAACAUAAAUUAAUACAUGCCUAAAAUUGAUGCUUGCCAUCUAACAUUACUGUGCAUAUGGCAGGAGUGCACAAGAAAAAAAAAACAUCCCCAAAAAGCUGAUGCAGCUGAACAAGGAGGUGAAAAUAGUUGUAAGGGUAAAAAGGUAGGAUAUAAGCCUUCAGCUAGGAAGGAUCACUGGAAAUGUUAUGAAAUGAACAGAGGAACUGGAACAAGCUGAUGAGAACUGCAAAGAUGAAAAUGGAAAGACUGAAAGAUAAAGGAAACCAUAAAACUUUUUUUAUUAAUUAAGUGCUUAUAGACAAAUUGAAGUACAGUAUACAUCAGUGAACACCUCCAAUUCUAAACAUAUCCCUGGGUGAUUGUAAAGUCCCCAUAGUGAUGUCCAGAAAGAAUCUGCAAAUUAAUGUUUUUGUUGGGAUAGAUGACUUCACCAGUGGAGACUGAGGCCCUGAUCCUUCAAGAACAUAAGCCUGUGCUUAACUUAAGGGGUGUUAUUGAAGCCAAUAUGUCCACUCACAUGCUUAAAGAUAAACAUGUGCAUGAGUGUUUGCAGACUGGGGUAAGUGACCCUACAAAGAAUUUGUUUGCUUUACAAUUAGGGUUGUGCUCCAUUUUGCUCCUUCAUAAGGUAUAAAAAGGUGUGAAUAUUGGUUUUAUUUACUAUUUUCUUCUGAUGUUUUUAACAUUAGAAAUAUCAGAGGAAUGUUAAGUCUGACCUUCCCUGCUUUUGCUGGAAGACUUCAAGGUAACUUAAUG